UUGCUUUGACGGAACCUUCGGGGAAGAUGAAGCAUGAAAGUGGCGGAUGGGUGAGUAACGCGUAAGAAACCUGCCUUUCACACCGGGAUAGCAGCUGGAAACGGCUAUUAAUACCGGAUGAUACUUUUCUGACGCAUGUUAGGAAGGUCAAAGAAUUUCGGUGAAAGAUGGUCUUGCGUCUGAUUAGCUCGUUGGUGGGGUAACGGCCUACCAAGGCGACGAUCAGUAGCCGGCCUGAGAGGGUGACCGGCCACAUUGGGACUGAGACACGGCCCAAACUCC
rnacentral:rRNA from 1 species